UCGGGAAUUUUGGGCAAUGGGCGAAAGCCUGACCCAGCAACGCCGCGUGAAGGAUGAAGUAUUUCGGUAUGUAAACUUCGUAAGAAUAGGAAGAAUAAAUGACGGUACUAUUUGUAAGGUCCGGCUAACUACGUGCCAGCAGCCGCGGCAAUACGUAGGGACCAAGCGUUGUUCGGAUUUACUGGGCGUAAAGGGCGCGUAGGCGGCGUGGUAAGUCAUCUGUGAAAUCUCCGAGCUUAACUCGGAACGGUCAGAUGAUACUGCUGUGCUAGAGUACAGAAAGGGCAAUCGGAAUUCUUGGUGUAGCGGUGAAAUGCGUAGAUAUCAAGAGGAACACCUGAGGUGAAGACGGGUUGCUGGGCUGACACUGACGCUGAGGCGCGAAAGCCAGGGGAGCAAACGGGAUUAGAUACCCCAGUAGUCCCUGAGCGGGCUGGCAAGGCGCAU
rnacentral:rRNA from 1 species